CAUCGGUGGUUCAGUGGUAGAAUGCUC
rnacentral:piRNA from 4 species